UACGUAGGGACCAAGCGUUGUUCGGAUUUACUGGGCGUAAAGGGCGCGUAGGCGGCUUAACAAGUCACUUGUGAAAUCUCCGGGCUUAACUCGGAACGGCCAAGUGAAACUGUCAAGCUAGAGUGCAGAAGGGGCAAUCGGAAUUCUUGGUGUAGCGGUGAAAUGCGUAGAUAUCUGGAGGAACACCGGUGGCGAAGGCGGCAUCCUGGACCAAUACUGACGCUGAGGAGCGAAAGCCAGGGGAGCAAACGGG
rnacentral:rRNA from 1 species